rnacentral:rRNA from 5 species
CAAACGACUCUCGGCAACGGAUAUCUCGGCUCACGCAUCGAUGAAGAACGUAGCAAAAUGCGAUACUUGGUGUGAAUUGCAGAAUCCCGUGAACCAUCGAGUUUUUGAACGCAAGUUGCGCCCGAAGCCAUUUGGCUGAGGGCACGUCUGCCUGGGCGUCACAC